rnacentral:rRNA from 1 species
GGCGAUGGGUCAUUCAAAAUUUCUGGCCCUAAUCAAACUUUCGAAUGGUAGGAAUAAGAUGGCCUUAAACAAUGGUUUCAACGGGGUAACGGGGAAAUUAAGGGUUCUAUUCCCGGGAGAAGGGAGCCUGGAGAAAACGGUUAACCAACUAUUCCAAGGAAGGCAGCAGGCGCGCAAAUUUAACCCAAAUCCCGGACCACAGGGGAAGGUAGUGGACAAUAAUUAACUGAUCAUAGGGCUCUUUCGGGUCUUGUGAAUUGGAAUGAGUACAAUUUAAAAUCCCUUAACGAGGAACAAUUGGAGGGCAAGGUCUGGUGCCAGCAGCCGCGGCUCAAUUCCAGCUCCAAUAGCGUAUAUUAGAGUUGUUGCAGUUAAACAAGCUCGUAGUUGAACCUUGGGCUGGCUGAUCGGUCCGCCUACACCGCGUGCACUGGGUUCGGCCGGGCCUUUCCUUCUAGGGAGAGCCGGCAUGCCCUUCACUGGGUGUGUCAGAGGAAACCAGGACUUUUAGCUUUGAAAAAAUUAGAGUAGUUCCAAAGCA